UGGCAAAUGGAGCAUUGGUUGGACUACAUUCGUAUCAUUAGAAUCGUUUAGAUUCGAAUGCAUGCAGUAGUUUAUUUGCAAUUCAUUAAAAACACCGGGCAAAACAAAAUAUACAACGCCUCAUGAAUCCGUUGUUUAUAGAAGAUCCUGAAUCUGCGUUUGCAGCCGCUGCGCUUCAGGUCGAAGACGAUGGGACGACGAUAUUAUCUAUAACAUAAUCCAGUUGACAUUUUACUGUUCCAAUUGCAUUUGUCAGCUUCAAAAUUUUUUUGUCGUGCUCCUGCAUUCCUAAUUGUAUUUGAUUCAUCAUUCCUAACACCUUGUAAAUUUUUCCAUUGAGUGAAGCCAGUGUUAUCUCUGGAUUUUCGCUAGCCUGGUUUUCCAUCGCUGAUACGGCUGUGGUUUAAAAAUUAGUUGUUUUAAAAUUCAUUCGACCACAAAGUCAUUCUAUCAUUUUAUUUACCUUUUUUCACUUUUUUCUAGCUCUAUUCUCCAAGGCGUGCGGGAAUAAUUGUUUGCUCCAAUCAGUCCAAAAAACGAAGACCAAAUAAAAUUUUCCAUCGUUUUGAAACCCAUACGUGCCAACCGUUCUACUGGCCUCGCUACACGAACCGAAAACUCGAGGCGAAAACUCAAAAAUCGGAAAUCUUUAUGUCAAAAAGAUUUCGAGUCGUAUAGACGCGUUUUGUGCACCACCGAAAACACAAAGCCGCUGUCAAUUGAAGCAAGCGAAAACUUUCUGUCAGUACUGUCUGUUCAAAUGUUUGUUUACAAGCAGAAUCGUUUACGCGUUGUUAUCGAUUGUGUAUAAAUUUAUCCGGAUAAAAAUGGAUACUCUUUUAAUGAGUGAAGAAUGGUUGGCAUCGCUAUCGUGGGCGGUAGAACGUGGAACAGCUAAGGGGUCGCAACCAGCGAAUUGUGCGAAGCUGGUGGAUGCGACCAAUGUUUUUUCAGCGACGUCAAGACGGCAACCGUUUGUUGGAUGAUAUUG